rnacentral:lncRNA from 1 species
AGGCUCUGUUUUACACCAAAAAAGCUCUUCUGGGCACCGAGGCAGGCACCGUGGGUUCCCUGCUGCCAGAAUUAAUUCGGCUGGAGAGUGUACCGCACAGCCAGAGUCUGCAGCGAGGUUCCCGUGAAGAAAAAGUACGGUCAGCAGCUUCCUGAUUGUGAUUUACCAAGAAGCGGCACAGUCUCUGCAGGAAAUAUGUCAGCUGCCCCAUUGUCCUCUUAUUUAAAGUAGGACAGACACCAAGCUUGAGAAUACUUGAAUAGGAGGACUCAGAAGCAGAAAAUGAGAGCAACCAAGUCAGUCUCAAUCAUGACUCACAAGCUCCAACUUCACUUAUGGAGUCAUCCAG